GAUGAAGAACGUAGCGAAAUGCGAUACGUAAUGUGAAUUGCAGAAUUCCGUGAAUCAUCGAAUCUUUGAACGCACCUUGCGCCUCUUGGUAUUCCGAGGGGCAUGCCUGUUUGAGUGUCGUUGAAUCCUCAAAAGGGAAGCUUGACCGUUUCUCUUUUGGAAUUGGGGUGUGCUGGCCUUUUGUCAAUGAAGCCCAGCUCCUCUAAAAUGCAUUAGCGAUGUGACAUCCGCAUGCACCGCGCUUCUCUGGCAUUGAUAGUAUCUUCAUGCUAGGGGCAGGUUUUGCAGCUGUGGAAAGCUUUGCUCGCUCACAACCGAUGGUGUGGAGAGGUGCCUUUUGUGCCUCCUCACCUAUCCUCUGACAGUAUCACCUCAAAUCAGGUAGGAUUACCCGCUGAACUUAAGCAUAUCAAUAAGCCGGAGGA
rnacentral:misc_RNA from 1 species